rnacentral:rRNA from 1 species
UACGGAGGGUGCAAGCGUUAUCCGGAUUCACUGGGUUUAAAGGGUGCGUAGGUGGGCAGGUAAGUCCGUGGUGAAAUCUCUGAGCUUAACUCAGAAACUGCCGUGGAUACUAUUUGUCUUGAAUAUUGUGGAGGUGAGCGGAAUAUGUCAUGUAGCGGUGAAAUGCUUAGAUAUGCCAUAGAACACCAAUUGCGAAGGCAGCUCACUACACAAUUAUUGACGCUGAGACGCGAAAGCGUGGGGAGCGAACAGG